UAGUAGGAGGGCACAGGCCCAGGGUGUCCUCGCAACGGGCGUCCCGGGGAGCUGCUGAAGUCCUCCCCGCUGCAGAGGACCGAGAGGCAGGGCCCGGGAGAGAACAGCCCGGUCGGAGGGGGUGGGCCGUCAGCCGCCCCGGAAAGCUGCGUUUCCCGGUGAUUAAGUGUAGCACCCGCCCCCGGCCGCCCCUCACCUGCCAAUGAUGCUCUUGAUCUGGGAAUCCUUCUCUGCCUGCUGCUGCCUUAGCCUCUUCUCACUCUGCUCCAGUCGGGCCUGAUACUGCAUCAGGAUUUUGCUGGUUUGUUCUUCCUGGGACAGCAGCCUCCGCUCAUACUCUUCCAGCUUCCGGUUGGACAUGUGCAGCCGCUCUUUCAGAUCCCUGCAAAUGUAAUCAAACUAAGAAGAGGCCAGCCAUGGUAUCUCAUUCCUGUAAUCCCAGCACUUUGGGAGGCCGAGGUGGGUGGAUUGCCUGAGGUCAGGAGUUCGAGCCAGC
rnacentral:lncRNA from 10 species